UACUACUAGGAAGCCCAUUUUAGUAAGGC
rnacentral:piRNA from 1 species